rnacentral:rRNA from 1 species
AUGGAAAAAUGGAACAAGUCCAAGCGUAUUAUGCUUCUCAUCAUGAAAGCGACAAUAUCACCGGAGAUUUCUGAGGCACUCCCUAAGAAAGACACUGCUAAAGAAUUCCUCAAUGAAAUGGAGGCGCAAUUUAAAGGCUCCGACAAAGUGUAUGCUCAUGAACUUUUUACUAAGCUUUUUCAGGAAUACACUAUUGACGGAAAUGUUAGGCAGCACAUACUAAGGCUGGUGAGUGCUUUCAUCAAGCUUAAAGCUUUGGAGUGUUCUUUAAGUGAAGUUUUUCUUGUAAUAACGAUACUUGAGUCUCUUCCAGAAGAAUUUGGAAAAUUUAAGGUCAAUUAUAACUCUCUAAAGGAAAAAUGGCCACUUGGUGAGAUGACCGCAAGGAUCGUCCAAGAGGAAGAGAGGAUCAUGAGACAGAAGAAUGACCAUGUUUUUCAUGUUGGCUCUAACAAGAGAAAGCAUGAGGGUAAAGGUUUCCCUAAGCCUCAAAAAAUAAAUUCAAGAAAGAAGGCCCUAGGCCAUUCAACCCCAAGCCAUUCAAGGGUAAAGAAGUCGGCUGCUCUUCUUUUGCUCCUAGCAGCUCCAUCGGUGUAG